AUGACUACCGGGUUCAUUUUCUUUUGACUAAGUCGAGAACAGUCAGCGCUCGGACAGAGGCCAACGACUGCUUAUCUCGUGUUAUCUGGAUCGUUCUGACGACAUUGAAACAUUAUCUUGUUCUAUAUAAGUCCUAGUAAAGACACCACGAUAAAAUUGCCGAAAGUAGCGGUUAGAAUACCAGGCUAACGAUGUCUGUAAAAGUUUUUCUUGGAGUCCUGAUGAUGUCACUGGCUGUGGAGGUGAUCCUAAGUUGCAGGUCAAGCUACCAACACAGUCACUACAAAGAGUGCUACUGCGCAUGCGACGACAAUCUUUUCAAUCCAUGUAUUAACAACUGCACGCAGACAUACGCUGCAGACGACCACAUCCACCUCAACCACUGCAACAUCCGGUGCCACGACCACCUGGCACAUUGCCUCCAUGUGUGCAACCACCCAGACCUUGUUGUUGGCUGAUCAUUCAGAUCUGAUUGUAAUUGAAUCUAGCUGCAAUUGUAUAAAUAUAUAGCGGUGGGAAACAGUUA